UACAGAGGGGGCAAGCGUUGUUCGGAAUUACUGGGCGUAAAGGGCGCGUAGGCGGCCUUCUAAGUCGAACGUGAAAGCCCCGGGCUCAACCCGGGAAGUGCAAUUGAUACUGCUUGGCUUGAGUGUGGAAGAGGGCAGUAGAAUUCCUGGUGUAGUGGUGAAAUACGUAGAUAUCAGGAGGAAUACCGGUGGCGGAGGCGGCUGCCUGGUCCUACACUGACGCUGAGAUACGAAAGCGUGGGGAGCAAACAGG
rnacentral:rRNA from 1 species